rnacentral:misc_RNA from 1 species
CAUCAUCCUCAGUGUCAUCCAUUUUUAAGUUCAGCCUCAAGAACAAGAAAACCCUAAAAAUCCACUUAACUUCAAAUGACCAAUUUCUUCUUCACUUUAAAAUCCAACUCCCCCAACACCAUCUUUUCAGCCCAAAAGUAUGUCAAUUUCCACUCCCAAUUUUACUUCCCUAUUCUUCAUCAAAUCAGUGUUCGCAAGUCAACAAACCCCAAAAGCUUCUGUCGCCAUAUCCAGUUCCAUAAUUUCAUUGGGCGAUAAAACCCAGUUCCAGAAACAGCAAAACCCCAAGAAUCUCACUAACGGAUAAUCUCACUGUUCAGUUGCAGAUGACCAAAUAAUCCAGAAACAUAGUACCAAACCCAAAAAAAUAAAAUUUAGAAACAUAAAGUAAGAGAAUAAACUUACAUGAUUC